CUUGUAAGGGUAAAGAUGAGGAGUCGGACCUGCCCGGUGAAGUUUUUUAACGGCCGCGGUACUCUGACCGUGCAAAGGUAGCAUAAUCAUUUGCCUUAUAAUUGAAGGCUGGUAUGAAUGGUUUGACAAGAAUACAGCUGUCUCUUUGUGGUUUGGUAGAAUUUUAUUUUUAGGUGAAAAAGCCUUGAUUUGAUUAAUAGACAAGAAGACCCUAUCGAGCUUUAAAGGAUUUAGUGGGUUAGGAGACUUAAUUGGUGGAAAAAGGAGUUUGCUAAAUAUUUUGGUUGGGGCGACUGAGGAACAUGUAAAGCUUCCUUUAAUAUGUUAUUAACAUACGGGUAUUGAUCCAAAAAUGUUGAUUAAAGAAAUUAGUUACCGUAGGGAUAACAGCAUUAUCUUUUUUGAGAGUUCUUAUCGAAAAAAGGGUUUGUGACCUCGAUGUUGGACCAGAAUGUCCUAAAGAUGCAGAAGUCUUUAAGGGUUGGUCUGUUCGACCAUUAAAAUUCUA
rnacentral:rRNA from 1 species